CACGUAGGGGGCAAGCGUUGUCCGGAUUUAUUGGGCGUAAAGAGCUCGUAGGCGGUUCGAUAAGUCGGGGUGUGAAACCUCCAGGCUCAACCUGGAGACGCCACCCGAUACUGUUGUGACUGGAGUCCGGUAGGGGAGCGUGGAAUUCCUGGUGUAGCGGUGAAAUGCGCAGAUAUCAGGAGGAACACCGGUGGCGAAGGCGGCUUUCUGGACAGAUACCGACGCUGAGGCACGAAAAGCGUGGGGGAGCAAACAGG
rnacentral:rRNA from 1 species